rnacentral:rRNA from 1 species
AACGAACGCUGGCGGCAUGCCUAACGCAUGCAAGUCGAGCGAGACCUUCGGGUCUAGUGGCGCACGGGUGCGUAACGCGUGGGAACCUGCCCUUAGGUUCGGAAUAACUCCCCGAAAGGGGUGCUAAUACCGGUUAAUGUCUUCGGACCAAAGAUUUAUCGCCUUUGGAUGGGCCCGCGUUGGAUUAGCUAGUUGGUAGGGUAAAAGCCUACCAAGGCGACGAUCCAUAGCUGGUCUGAGAGGAUGCUCAGCCACACUGGGACUGAGACACGGCCCAGACUCCGACGGGGAGGAGCAGUGGGGAAUAUUGUACAAGGGGCGAAAGCCUGAUCCAGCAAUGCCGCGUGAGUGAUGAAGGCCUUAGGGUUGUAAAGCUCUUUUACCCGGGAUGAUAAUGACAGUACCGGGAGAAUAAGCACCGGCUAACUCCGUG